rnacentral:rRNA from 1 species
CACAUGACUCUCGGCAACGGAUAUCUCGGCUCUUGCAUCGAUGAAGAACGUAGCAAAAUGCGAUACCUGGUGUGAAUUGCAGAAUCCCGUGAACCAUCGAGUUUUUGAACGCAAGUUGCGCCCAAGGCCUUUUGGUCGAGGGCACGUCUGCCUGGGCGUCACGC